ACGGAAGCCGCUAGAGGCCAAGUUCGAACCAGAAGAGAAGGUUCGCACUCCCGACAGAGGCAUCCCAGCACGGGACCUGCGAACCCACGCGGAGCACAUACCGCGAUAAUGGUAAAAGUGUUGCGGGCCUGCGUAAUUGCGAAGAGCGGACGCCAAGCGAGGAUCCCUUGGGUGGGGUCAGCAGCCGUAGCGCAUCGUAAGAACGCCGAGGCCACCCACGCAACCCACGCAGCACGCAUGGUAUCCGGAGUUCCGUGCUAGCGGGCGGCGAGCCGAAUCACUUCGGGGCGCCGCCCGCCUCAUUUU
rnacentral:ncRNA from 1 species